rnacentral:rRNA from 1 species
GACGAACGCUGGCGGCGUGCUUAACACAUGCAAGUCGAACGGAAAGGCCCUGCUUUUGUGGGGUGCUCGAGUGGCGAACGGGUGAGUAACACGUGAGUAACCUGCCCUUGACUUUGGGAUAACUUCAGGAAACUGGGGCUAAUACCGGAUAGGAGCUCCUGCUGCAUGGUGGGGGUAGGAAAGUUUCGGCGGUUGGGGAUGGACUCGCGGGUUAUCAGCUUGUUGGUGGGGUAGUGGCUUACCAAGGCUUUGACGGGUAGCCGGCCUGAGUGGGUGACCGGCCACAUUGGGACUCAGAUACGGCCCAGUAACCUACGGGAGGCAACAGUGGGGAAUAUUGCACACUGGGCCGAAGCCUGAUGCAGCAACGCCGCGUGCGGGAUGACGGCCUUCGGGUUGUAAACCUCUUUCGCCUGUGACGAAGCGUGAGUGACGGUAAUGCGUAAAGAAGCACCGGCUAACUACGUG